rnacentral:tRNA from 1 species
GAAGGCAUAGCUCAGUGGUAGAGUGCAUGCCUAGCAUGCAUGAGGUCCUGGGUUCAAUCCCCAGUACUGCCA